rnacentral:sRNA from 1 species
AGAACGAGUUCCGGCCCGGCCGGGGCUUGUCUCCUAAAAAUAGCCCCGGUGUGGGGAUCCGUGCGCGGAUGUCCCGGCGAGUCCCGGGCUGAAAGAGGCGGCUCCGGGCGGCGCGGAGCGCUGGUGGCGGGCCCGGGCUGCGGCGUGUGCGCGCCCGCCAGCUGCUCCGGAGACACGGAAUUGCAUUUUGUGAAAAAAGAACAAGAAUUUUCUGCAAGGAUCAUAUCUAAGUGCACUUUUUGCUGAUACUUCAUUUCUAAUCUUGUAGAAAAUUUCAGCUGUAGCCCUUGGACUAGAAGCUGAAAUAAUAGAAGCUGUAUACGAUGCAUUAGGGUAUUGAAGAAAAUUAACUUUUGAAUUAAAUAUUUGGAACAUAAGGAAAUAAGGAAAGGUGACUGAAAAUGGGGCGGAAGAAAAUACAAAUCACACGCAUAAUGGAUGAAAGGAACCGACAGGUUAUCUGGAUCAACUCUUCUGUUGAAGACAUCUAAAAACUAGAUAAACUGUAAAAACAAAACAAAAAAACUUUUGUACGUUAUCAAAGAGCUCAAGGAACAUGCCAGGCCAAAAUUUA